UGUCGAUUGGGUGAUUCGCUGUAGAAGAGACCUCUGUGGUGGUAGAUGGUGCUUAAUCGUCCUGAUUCUGUUGCUCCCCUUUGGUCUUUGUCUAGUCUGUGUUUUGCGCUUGGAGUGUGGUUCCUGCUCUCUUGCUUUUUCAGCAGUGCUUCUUUCUGCAAAUCCGUCAUUUCCUCGAGGACCAAACACUUUGCCCUUGAUUAUUUAUGUCAGGGAACGUGUUGCUUUUGGAACUCUUGAAGUGAAGCACAUACAAACUCAGCAGCAGAUCACCGAUAUCUUCACCAAACACUUCCAUUUCCAUUCUCCGAGGCAAACUCAUCGUCGAUUCCAUUGCCUCGCCAAGUUUGAGGGGGCGUAAAAGUGAAAACAGUUAAUGCCCACAUACAGCUGCUCAAGUAAAGUCCAACAAUAAAACUGUUAUAAGGCCAAGCAAUAAAUCAAAAUGGAAACCCGCUUCAGUUCAAGCUCUCCAACGGUUUUUUUCUAGCUGGGGACAAGACAAAGCUGGUGUUAGUACUUAGUAUAGAGGAAACUACAAGGGAAAUUUCCCUGAAGCAAAAGCAAAAGCAAGGGACAGCUGGACCAUCACAGCAUGUUCUACUGAAAUCCUAGUAGAUGGUCUGAUAAAUGUAAUGUAAUAACAUUUAAAAGGGGAAAAAAAAGAGAAAAACAAUAUUAAGAAAAUUCAUACCUUUCUUCUCUGUC